AGCUCCAAUAGCGUAUAUUAAAGUUGUUGCAGUUAAAAAGCUCGUAGUUGGAUUUCCGGCGUGAGGGAUCGGUCUGACUUUUAGUGAGUACUUGAUCCUCUCAUGCCGUCCUUGAAUGGUGCAUCCUGGCAUUAAGUUGUCGGGGUGAUAGCCGUUCAUCGUUUACUGUGAGAAAAUUAGAGUGUUCAAAGCAGGCUUAUGCCGUUGAAUAUAUUAGCAUGGAAUAAUAAGAUAGGACCUAGGUACUAUUUUGUUGGUUUGAGAACCAAGGUAAUGAUCAAUAGGGACAGUUGGGGGUAUUCGUAUUCAGUUGUCAGAGGUGAAAUUCUUAGAUUUCCGGAAGACGAACUACUGCGAAAGCAUUUACCAAGGAUGUUUUCA
rnacentral:rRNA from 1 species